GUCACUGGAGGUGGGCCACGCCCCUUUCCGCCAUGACAGUAGGCUAGACACAGGAUACAGCUUCAGCUAUGGCAACGUGAGGGAUCCCAUGUAUCCGAUAUUACUAAACAAAGACGUCAGGCUUGCAUUGCAGCGGUGAGACGAGCGGAUCGAGUUCUGUGCAAUCCCCAGCUUUUUGUUGGUUUGCUCUCCGCAUCUUCUUUCCGGCUUUUAUGCAGCUGCAGAGUCUGAAGGUGUGCCCCGUGCAGAAGUAAUCGAUGAAGAUCUGACAGAAGAACAACAACAAAAUUACAUUGUCAUAGCUGUGGACAGCAGUUGUGUUGGACAAGUGGAGGUUGAGGUACCACCUGUAAAUGUGGACAGUGGUGAUCGGACAGACAGCAUCACAGAAGCUAAAGGGCAGACGAAGCAUUGUGUGUGCAAUGAACAGGGCAGAGCAGAAAUAAACACAACACUGCUUGAUAAGCAGUGUUGGGGAGUAACGGAAUACAUGUACCGCCGUUACGUAUUCAGAAUACAAAAUAUGAGUAACUGUAUUCCGUUACAGUUACCGUUUAAAAAGGUGGUAUUCAGAAUACAGUUACUUUGGUGAAAUAAAUGGAAUACACGGCGGUACUUCCCUGUUUCAUAUUGUCGCGGGUCAGGAUUGUUUGGGUUUGUUUGACAGCUACGUUCUGUUGUUCCAGGCGGCAGCGUUACGGUUGCCAUGGUUACAGGGUGACGCUCUCUCUCUGCGUGUUUCCUGGGUGAGAGAGCGCCUUUGUGGUGUUGUUGUUGUGCUAAGCUAAUAGGCAGACUGCUACAGGCAUAGCUCUAAAGAAUGUAGCAUCAUGGGCAGUGUAGUCCGUG
ensembl:lncRNA